rnacentral:rRNA from 1 species
UCGAGGAUCUUCGGCAAUGGGCGCAAGCCUGACCGAGCGACGCCGCGUGUGCGAUGAAGGCCUUCGGGUUGUAAAGCACUGUCGAGGGGGAGGAAGCCGCAAGGUUGACCUAUCCCUGGAGGAAGCACGGGCUAAGUUCGUGCCAGCAGCCGCGGUAAGACGAACCGUGCGAACGUUGUUCGGAUUCACUGGGCUUAAAGGGCGCGUAGGCGGGUUACCAAGUCAGGGGUGAAAUCUUUCGGCUCAACCGGAAAACGGCCCCUGAUACUGGUAGUCUUGAGGGAGGUAGGGGCAGGUGGAACUUCCGGUGGAGCGGUGAAAUGUGUUGAUAUCGGAAGGAACGCCGGUGGCGAAAGCGACCUGCUGGAUCUCUUCUGACGCUGAGGCGCGAAAGCUAGGGGAGCGAACGGGAUUAGAUACCCGGGUAGUCC